rnacentral:snoRNA from 1 species
UUCAAAGACAGUGUGACAGAAUUCAGUAAUCAGGCAUCAAUUCAUUUCUUGACUUUUGUGCAGGUUCAACCUGGUAUUCUAUUUGGAAUACUU